GUACACGCUGUGACUAGCAUAUCAAUAAGCGGAGGAAAAGAAACUAACAAGGAUUCCCCUAGUAACGGCGAGUGAAGCGGGAAGAGCUCAAAUUUGAAAUCUUAAAGGGUUUCCCUUUACGAAUUGUAGUUUAAAGAAGUGUUUUCUGUUGAGGUUUUGGUAAAAGUUCUUUGGAAUAGGACAUCAUAGAGGGUGAGAAUCCCGUAUUUGACCUUUACUUUCAACUUUGUGAUACACUUUCAAAGAGUCGGAUUGUUUGGGAAUGCAGUCCAAAAUGGGUGGUAAAUUUCAUCUAAAGCUAAAUAUUGGCGAGAGACCGAUAGCGAACAAGUACCGUGAGGGAAAGAUGAAAAGAACUUUGAAAAGAGAGUUAAACAGUACGUGAAAUUGUCAAAAGGGAAGCGUUUGACACCAGUGUCGUUUUUCUGAAAAUCAAUUAAAGAACUGUUUAUGCUAAGCUGUUUAGACUUUAUCAGCUGACUGUUUAGUUUUGAGCUUUUCUUUAAUGCACUUUUCAGUUAACAAGUCGACAUCAAUUUCUUUUGCUGUAAAAAAGCUUGAGGAAGGUGGCUUGAGAUUCGUCUUAAGUGUUUAUAGCCUCUUGCCUAUGCAGUCGGGAGAGAUUGAGGUCUGCAGCGUAGAUCCUUCGGGGCUAAAUGCAUUUGUGCUAAGUUAUAGCAUUUUAUAGACAACUUGUUGACUAUGAUUAGUCUUGUAGCUUACUCGCUUAUGCUAUUUUACCUACGCUUAGGAUGUUGAGCGCAUGUCUCUCUCU
rnacentral:rRNA from 1 species